rnacentral:rRNA from 1 species
UACAGAGGUCUCGAGCGUUAGGCGGAAUCACUGGGCUUAAAGCGUGUGUAGGCGGAUCGUUAAGUACCUUGUGAAAUCCCACGGCUUAACCGUGGAACUGCUUGGUAUACUGGCGGUCUUGAGCCAGCUAGGGGCUACCGGAACAAAUGGUGGAGCGGUGAAAUGCGUAGAUAUCGUCUGGAACGCCGAAGGUGAAAACAGCUUGCUGGGGCCGCGCUGACGCUGAGACACGAAAGCCAGGGGAGCGAACGGG